rnacentral:sRNA from 1 species
CCGAGUUAACAACUCCCAAACCCCUGUGAACAUACCCAACGUUGCUUCGGCGGGACCGCCCCGGCGCCCUCGGCGUCCCGGAACCAGGCGCCCGCCGGAGGACCCAAACUUUUGUUUAAACCAUAGUGGCAUAUUCUGAGUCUCACAAGAUAAAUGUU